AACGAACGCUGGCGGCAGGCCUAACACAUGCAAGUCGAGCGAGAUCUUCGGGUCUAGCGGCGGACGGGUGAGUAACGCGUGGGAAUAUGCCCUUCUCUGCGGAAUAGCCUCGGGAAACUGAGCGUAAUACCGCAUACGCCCUUUGGGGGAAAGAUUUAUCGGAGAAGGAUUAGCCCGCGUUGGAUUAGGUAGUUGGUGGGGUAACGGCCUACCAAGCCGACGAUCCAUAGCUGGUUUGAGAGGAUGAUCAGCCACACUGGGACUGAGACACGGCCCAGACUCCUACGGGAGGCAGCAGUGGGGAAUCUUAGACAAUGGGGGCAACCCUGAUCGAGCCAUGCCGCGUGAGUGAUGAAGGCCUUAGGGUUGUAAAGCUCUUUCAGCUGGGAAGAUAAUGACGGUACCUGCAGAAGAAGCCCCGGCUAACUCCGUG
rnacentral:rRNA from 1 species